rnacentral:lncRNA from 1 species
AUAUCUGCUGCCGUAAUUACUCGACUUUGGACUCCGUUAGCAAGAUGAAGCUCCUUUGUUGGUUGUUGGCCGACUCGAUUCAGUCGGAGCUCCAUUUUUUCUUUGUUUUUUUUCUAACCUUUUCUUUCUAUUUGAUGCCAGUCAGUAGCAUCUUCAUCUGUGCGAAUAUAUUUAUACAUGCACUCCAGAAGUUCUGCAUAAGUCUGAGAGCGAGUCUUAUCCAGAGAGGAAAAAAAUUCGGAUCUUCUCAGAUUUUCUUUCAUGGCUGAGAUGGUCAUAUCCUCAUUAAGGUCCCGGAUCUCAAGUGUGGUGGUGUUGAAAUGUGUCACAAAGUCUCUCAAUGUCUCUUCUUCAUCCUGCUUGAUGGAGAAGAGACUGUCGGAUGUUUGUAGCAUCUUUCGGUUGGUGCUAAAAUGGGUCACAAAUGACUGUUCGAGCUGCUCAAAGAAGUUUAUGCUCUCCGAUUGGAGUCCGAAAUAUGAGGCUCGAGCAACCUUCCGAAUGUU